rnacentral:rRNA from 1 species
CCUACGGGAGGCAGCAGUGAGGAAUCUUGGUCAAUGGGCGAAAGCCUGAACCAGCCAAGUCGCGUGAGGGAUGAAGGUUCUAUGGAUCGUAAACCUCUUUUAUAAGGGAAUAAAGUGUAGGACGUGUCCCGUUUUGUAUGUACCUUAUGAAUAAGGAUCGGCUAACUCCGUGCCAGCAGCCGCGGUAAUACGGAGGAUCCGAGCGUUAUCCGGAUUUAUUGGGUUUAAAGGGUGCGUAGGCGGCCUUUUAAGUCAGCGGUGAAAGUCUGUGGCUCAACCAGAGAAUUGCCGUUGAAACUGGGAGGCUUGAGUAUGUGUGAGGCAGGCGGAAUGCGUGGUGUAGCGGUGAAAUGCUUAGAUAUCACGCAGAACCCCGAUUGCGAAGGCAGCCUGCCAAGCCAUGACUGACGCUGAUGCACGAAAGCGUGGGGAGCAAACAGGAUUAGAUACCCCUGUAGUC